CGCCCAUUGAUCCCAUUCUGACAAAAAGGAGAUCAAAGCUUAGCACGCACAAGUUAAAACCGUCCUUCAAAUCCUUCUUGAGGAUGAUAAUCAAACAAGUGAAUCAUCUCAACGCUUUUCGUGCAAGUGAUCAGAAUUUUAACUCACUGACUGACUGCCAGAUAUUUUAAAACAUUUCACCU